rnacentral:lncRNA from 1 species
CUCCACCUUUUCUAAGCGCAGGAACCUCUCACUCCCCUGGAGCGCACCUUCAGGGCUUAAGGUCCCCGGGGUCACCUAAGCUUCAGCCAGUAACUGAUUUUGGUACUCCCCGCCUUCCUAGGGAAAACCAGCAGACGCGCGAAGCGUCGGGCCCACCCGGCGGCGCCGCAGGCCGUGCACCGCCACCCCCGGACCCUCCCCCGCAGGUGUGGAUUCUGCAAUGCUGCACAGAAACCUACUGCAGCCUCAGACCAACAGCAGCAGCAGCAGCGGCGGCGGCGGCAGCAGCAGCAGCAGCAUUAGCAGCAGCAGCUUCUCUCAAUGCUGAGUAUUGAAUACAGAUAAUCAUGAGGCCCAAGACCCUAAGGAACAGUGCAGCCAGGAGUCGGAAGGAGCCUGGGUUUCUGAAUCAUCACAUGGAGGGGAGCUGUCUUCAGCUGGGAGAGCUGUCUUCAGUUGGAUACUGGGAGGAAGAAAGGGAGCUGGUUAGGAAGCAAACUUGAGUUUCCCAUGCUCUGUGGCUGAGCAAGUCACUUCACCAUUCUCAGGAUGGAAGUGGGGAUGGAGGUGGCAUCGGCCUCAUUUGAACCACAUGGACUAAGAGGGGCUAUGGGAGUAUUCCCCAAAGGAAGACUGAGGGGCGUUACUAGAAAAUGGGAGAAUGGAAGCAGAGUGGGCAAAACCAACAGAUGUUCCCUAUAGUAAAUAAAAAAUUUGGACAAUUAUUAGUGAGCAAGUACUUAUAACAUAUAUGGCACAUGGGAUUGUGACUCACCAGUGUGUUAGCACAAUAUGGUCAAAAACCUCUGAUCCAAUUCAACCUACUCAUCUUAACGAUUUUAUCAGCAUUUAAUAAGUUUGUUUUGGCCAUCAUGUGUUAUAGUUUUGUUUGUGGUUUUGACACCUCAUUAGAGGUUUCAUCAGUGUAAGGAGCCAACCUAAGAGCUCUUCUCACAAGUUUCCCAAGAGAGAAAUUGCCCCUCCAAAUGUGAGGAGUCUCACUUUAUAUAGAUAGCAUCCACACUUCUUGCAGUGGAAAACAAACCUUAUAAAAUGUAAUACGUUUGGUUUCCUAACUUUUUCAUGACCCUGGGGUGGUAGAAGGAAGUGCAAGUUUUAUCACUUGGAUUUAGAGACAAGGAAAUUGAAAUGGAGAGAGAAUUGGGCUCACAUGCAGGCAGCAUGUCUAGCUGCCUCCAUCGUGUGAUCUGAGGCACCCCAUGAGGCCUAUGAUUACUGUAAACCUCUAAAAUAAAUAAAAAAUAAAACAAUCUCUGCCACUGAAGUGCUUCUUAAUGAGAUGUGUGUAGUUUAAUGGGAUCAAGGCAUUGGAUCACUUGAAGGACAAUGUAUAAUUAAUGCGUUUUUACAAGUUGGUUCAAUUCAAAAAAUACUUAUUGAGGAUCUACUACUAGUUCUAUCACUGAGGAUGUUUUGGUUACAAGUACAGGAAUACCUUGAAUAUAUUGCAGGUUCAGCUCCAGAUCACCGCAAUAAAGUGAAUAUUGCAAUAAAGCUAGUCACAUGAAUUUUUUGGUUUCCCAGUGCAUACAA